CCCUGGUCUUCUUAUGGACGGCACCCGGGCCGGGCGGGCCGUGCCGCCGGCUGCCAGCUGGGAAAAGCCGCGAGAAAAAGGGCGGCAGAAUCAAUUAGAUUGGAAAAACCCCCUGAGAUCAUCGCGUCCAGCCUAUGAUGGAACACCAGCAUGUCAACCAGACCAUGGCACUGAGUGCCACAUCCAGUCUUGCCUUAAACACCCCCAGGGGUGGUGACUCCACCACCUCCUUGGGCAUCCCACUCCAGUGUCUAAUCACCCUUUCUGUGAAGAAAUUCCUCCUAAUGUCCAACCUAAACCUCCCCCGGGUGCCUCUUGAGGCUGUAUCCUCUUGCCCUAUCAUGAGUUGUUUGAGAGAAGACCCUGCCCCCCACCUUGCUACAACCUCCUUUCAGGCAGUUCUGGAUAUCACUAAGGUCACCUCCUUUUCCCAGUCUGAACAACCCCAGCUCCCUCAGCUGGUCCUCAUAGGACUCGUGCUCCAGACCCUUCAGCAACUCUGCUGCCCUUCUCUGGACUCGUUCCAGACCCCCAAUGUCCUUCCUGAAUUGAGAGACCCAAAACUGGACAAAGCACUCAAGGUAUGGUCUCACCAGUGCUGAGUACAGGAGAAGAAUCAUUGUCAUUGAAGACAUUCCUUGUUGUCAAUGAGAGAAAAUACUCAUAUCCCCAAGCCUCUUCUAAUAUACUCCCAUACCAUUGCCCAAAUCAGCUUUUAAAAGAAACUCUAAUUUUUUUGCAUACUAAGAGUAGAUCGGACAUUUUAUAUGUAAAGCAAAGGUGUGUUAUGCUUGCUUAUAUAUUAUUGAUGUGUUAUCCAAAGA